GUCUCUUUCAAUCCCUCUUCUCUCGUGUCUUUCUCAGAAUCGCUCUCUCUCAGAAAACCCAAUCGCUCACUCACAAAACCGUUCUCUCAACCUCACGACCCUUUCUCAAACGCUCACAAACUCAAGUCUCUCUCAUCAACGCCCUCUCUCAAACGCUCACAAACUCACGAACCACGGCGAGCUAAGACCAAAAGUAUAAAGGAGAAAAAAACAAACGAAGACUUACUUCCGGCGACGGCAGUGACUCAGGGUUUCGGUUUGAUGCUCAAUGGUCCAAUGGAGGAAGUUUCAGGAUUGCUUUUUGAUGCUCAGAGAUGAUUGCCCUGUUUGAUCAUUGGACCCGGAAAGUGAAAGAUUGAACAUCGAUUUCGGUUUUCUCACAGCCUUGUUGGUGUACUCGGUUUUGGAUGGCUCGAGUCCAGUUUUUUCGUUAAGUGACCCAAAGCAAAAUUAACACUUGUAUGAGGAUCCCUUUCCAAGAUGGGACUCGCAGAGGAAUGAGAAUAAGCUUCACUCCUGGAUAUUUGUUUGCUGGCAGAGACAUCUGAUGGACUCACACAUCCCAAAUUCGAUUCAUGUGGCUCUGUAGCAUGUGAGGCAAACCGCUGCACCUCUCGUUUUGCUGUUUGAAUCUCU